AAUGAACGUUGGCGGCGUGGAUUAGGCAUGCAAGUCGAGCGCGAACCCCGCAAGGGGUGAAAGCGGCGAAAGGGAGAGUAACGCGUGGGUAUCUGCCCUCGGGACUGGGAUAGCUGCGGGAAACUACAGGUAAUACCAGAUGACGUCCCCGGACCAAAGGUGUGAUUCCGCCUGAGGAUGAGCCCGCGGCCUAUUAGCUAGUUGGUGGGGUAAUGGCCUACCAAGGCAAUGAUGGGUACUGGGUGUGAGAGCACGACCCAGCUCACUGGGACUGAGACACUGCCCAGACACCUACGGGUGGCUGCAGUCGAGAAUCUUCGGCAAUGGGCGAAAGCCUGACCGAGCGACGCCGCGUGUGGGAUGAAGGCCUUCGGGUUGUAAACCGCUGUCAGAGGGGAGGAAUGGGCGGAGGGUAAUCUCUUCGUUUUGACCUAUCCUCAGAGGAAGUACGGGCUAAGUUCGUGCCAGCAGCCGCAGUAA
rnacentral:rRNA from 1 species